rnacentral:rRNA from 1 species
AAUCAACGCUGGCGGCGUGCCUAACACAUGCAAGUCGAACGCGAGAGGGCUUCGGCCCUGAUUGAGUGGCAAACGGGUGAGUAACGCGUGGGUGACCUACCUUCGAGUGGGGGAUAACGUUCCGAAAGGACGCUAAUACCGCAUAACAUCCUGUCUUUGGACAGAUGGGAGAUCAAAGCCGGGAUCGUAAGACCUGGCGCUUGAGGAGGGGCCCG